GAUGAAGAACGCAGCGAAAUGCGAUAAGUAAUGUGAAUUGCAGAAUUCAGUGAAUCAUCGAAUCUUUGAACGCACCUUGCACCCUUUGGCAUUCCGAAGGGUAUGCUCGUUUGAGUGUCAUUGUACUCUCACACUUCCAAUCUUUGGAUUGGGGGCGGUGGACUUGGGUGUUGCUGCUUACUGUGGCUCACCUCAAAUUGAUUCGUGCACCUCUUGGUUGGACAUAGUACGGCGUGAUAAGUGUCUUCGCCGGCACCUCAGUAGAGGGUGGCUGAUCGGGAGCUCUGUGCUUCAAACCGUCCUCGGACAACAACUGACAACUUGACCUCAAAUCGAGUAGGACUACCCGCUGAACUUAAGCAUAUUAAUAAGCGGAGGA
rnacentral:misc_RNA from 1 species